UAAGAUAGGUCUAUAGGCAAAC
rnacentral:piRNA from 1 species